UCCAGCCGGGCCCCGCUUGGUUUGCACCUUGAGGGUGUUAGGGGUGGGGGUGGGGGGUGGGGAGAACGGCAGCUACCACUUAGCGCUUCAAAGGAGGGGAGUGGAUGCUUCCUGAUGCCAGCCAGCCAACCAGCUAAAAGCCCCGUUUUGCCUUCGCUUCAGCUCUGCUUUCAGAGGAGGAGGGAGGUUCCCCCCUAAAACACCCACCUUUGGUGGGAUGUGAAUAGAGGCCACAGGCAUUGCCCGUUCUCUUCUUUCCCCUUCCCCUCCCUAUCAGCUGACGUUGGUAUUGUCUAUGCCCGUUCACCUGCCUGAAGGGAAAGGACUGCAGGUUGCAGAACCGUCCAUGGAAAGGGUGCAAGCGGAUUUAACAGCUUGGUCAGUUGUCCUAACAGUGUUGCAGAGGAUAUGUGGGUCCUAUGCACUUCAUUGCUGCUGCUCCUUUGCAGAAAGACAUAAUUUCUGUAGCACCUGUCGCUUUAUAAGUGCCUGAGCUCCCAGGUUUAGUGAUGAACCUCAAUGGAUGUAUCUGCACAAUGCCCGAAACCCAAUGUCAACAGCUCAACGUACAGUUUAUGAACCAGGACAAGCAUCUAUGCAGCCUUACCCAUUAUCUUCCCCGUUAAAGCUCUCCUAUCUGAGCCGCAAGAAUCCAGAUGCCCUUGGGGUUGGCAGCAAAGAAUUAGAUUUCUCCUUAUGACUGAUGCCAACCUGAGGUCUGGAUUUUUGCAACUCAGAACUGAUUGCCAUUCCUGCAAAUAAGAGAAGGACUGCAUCAUACUGCUUCCAUCAGCUUCCUCUCUCAUUGUCACUGAACAGGAAUAAUAACGAUCUUUCAACAUGUCCUUAAAGCAUCCACUUAUAAGGUUUUUUAACCACCCAAACUAAUAAGUUCCUAGACAUUACUUAUUUUAGUUUUUAAUACUUAAUCUGCUUUUUUUUCAGACUGAUGCUGCCAGAGUGAGUGACGCAUCAUUAAAAACAAUCCCUGACUUUAGAUUCACCUGGUACUCUACAACAUUGGAUGCUUUCCAGGGUGGACAAAAACGACAUCAUGCACCAUCAUGACAAAAAUGCGCAAGUGAUAUAUUUUGCAUCACUGUUGCAACUACAGUGAAGAGUGAAGAGGACUAAGAUUUGUUCAAGAACUCUAUCUGAUCAUAGUCCGGUUUGGAUUGAAUUUGAUCGGGAAAAGGAGGCUAGGAGAUCAUGGAGGUUGAAUGAGAAUUUGUUUAAAUAUGAACAAAAUGUAAAUGAAUGUAAAAAGCAAAUGAAAGAAUUUUUUUUUAUGAAUAUGAAAAAAGAGACAUCUAUAGAGAUGAUUUGGGACUCCAGCAAGGCUUAUAUGAGAGGAAAUCUUAUACAAAUGAAUAUUAAAUACAAAAAUAAAUUGCAGAAAAAGAAAAAGGAACUGGAAGAGGAAAUUAAAAAGAAAGAACAAUUAUUGAUAAAUAGCCCAGGAAAUAGUAAAAUAAAAGAAUCAAUAAAUAUAUUAAGAGGUCAGUUUAAUAUGUUGAUGGCAGAUCAAGUAGCAAUUAAUUUACAAUAUGUAAAACAUAAUACGUUUAAUAAUGCCAAUA